rnacentral:rRNA from 1 species
GCUAGCUACAGGCUUAACACAUGCAAGUCGAGGGGUAGCAGGGUAGCAAUACCGCUGACGACCGGCGCACGGGUGAGUAACACGUAUCCAACCUUCCCAUUACUCGGGGAUAGCCUUUCGAAAGAAAGAUUAAUACCCGAUAGUACUUUUUCGAGGCAUCUCGUAAAAAGUUAAAGAUUUAUUGGUAAUGGAUGGGGAUGCGUUCCAUUAGAUUGUUGGUGAGGUAACGGCUCACCAAGUCUUCGAUGGAUAGGGGUUCUGAGAGGAAGGUCCCCCACAUUGGUACUGAGACACGGACCAAACUCCUACGGGAGGCAGCAGUGAGGAAUAUUGGUCAAUGGGCGAGAGCCUGAACCAGCCAAGUAGCGUGAAGGAUGACGG